UAAGGUUAAGUUAAUAAGGGCGCACGGUGGAUGCCUUGGCACUAGGAGCCGAAGAAGGACGUGACAAACGACGAUAUGCCUUGGGUAGCUGUAAGUAAGCGAUGAUCCAGGGAUUUCCGAAUGGGGGAACCCAACAGGUACUACCUGUUACCCGCAUCUGUUAAGGAUGUGAGGAGGAAGACGCAGUGAACUGAAACAUCUAAGUAGCUGCAGGAAGAGAAAGCAAAAGCGAUUGCCUUAGUAGCGGCGAGCGAAACGGCAGAAGGGCAAACCGAAGAGUUUACUCUUCGGGGUUGUAGGACUGUAAUGUGGACUCAAAGAUUAUAGAAGAAUGAUUUGGGAAGAUCAGCCAAAGAGAGUAAUAGCCUCGUAUUUAAAAUAGUCUUUGUACCUAGCAGUAUCCUGAGUACGGCGGGACACGCGAAAUCCCGUCGGAAUCUGGGAGGACCAUCUCCCAACCCUAAAUACUCCCUAGUGACCGAUAGUGAACCAGUACCGUGAGGGAAAGGUGAAAAGCACCCCGGGAGGGGAGUGAAAUAGAACCUGAAACCGUGUGCCUACAACAAGUUCGAGCCCGUUAAUGGGUGAGAGCGUGCCUUUUGUAGAAUGAACCGGCGAGUUACGUUAUGAUGCGAGGUUAAGUUGAAGAGACGGAGCCGUAGGGAAACCGAGUCUGAACAGGGCGAAUUAGUAUCAUGACGUAGACCCGAAACCAUGUGACCUACCCAUGAGCAGGUUGAAGGUGCGGUAAGACGCACUGGAGGACCGAACCAGGGCACGUUGAAAAGUGCUUGGAUGACUUGUGGGUAGCGGAGAAAUUCCAAACGAACUUGGAGAUAGCUGGUUCUCUCCGAAAUAGCUUUAGGGCUAGCGUCGACAUUAGAGAUUCUUGGAGGUAGAGCACUGUUUGGGUGAGGGGUCCAUCCCGGAUUACCAAUCUCAGAUAAACUCCGAAUGCCAAUGAAUUAUGGUCGGCAGUCAGACUGCGAGUGCUAAGAUCCGUAGUCGAAAGGGAAACAGCCCAGACCACCAGCUAAGGUCCCAAAAUAAUUGUUAAGUGGAAAAGGAUGUGGGGUUGCACAGACAACUAGGAUGUUAGCUUAGAAGCAGCUAUUCAUUCAAAGAGUGCGUAAUAGCUCACUAGUCGAGUGACCCUGCGCCGAAAAUGUACCGGGGCUAAAACAAUUUACCGAAGCUGUGGAUACCUUUAUAGGUAUGGUAGGAGAGCGUUCUAUGUGUGAAGAAGGUGUACCGUGAGGAG
rnacentral:rRNA from 1 species